rnacentral:rRNA from 1 species
CAGCAGCCGCGGUAAUACGAAGGGGGCUAGCGUUGUUCGGAAUUACUGGGCGUAAAGCGCACGUAGGCGGAUACUUAAGUUAGGGGUGAAAUCCCAGGGCUCAACCCUGGAACUGCCUUUAAUACUGGGUAUCUUGAGUUCGAGAGAGGUAAGUGGAAUUCCGAGUGUAGAGGUGAAAUUCGUAGAUAUUCGGAGGAACACCAGUGGCGAAGGCGGCUUACUGGCUCGAUACUGACGCUGAGGUGCGAAAGCGUGGGGAGCAAACAGGAUUAGAUACCCGCGUAGUCCCUGUCUCUUAUAC